AGCUCACCUAGCGAUCUCCCUUCCUUCCUUCCAGUACUUCCUCCUGGUUGUUCUCCUGGGGGGGGAAAAGAAGGGGUGACCCCACGCCCUGUUGCCUCAACUUCAUCAUUCCUGCCCCUUGCCUGGCCAGACCAGGUCUUUCAGGCCUCUUUCAGGGCCUUGGUCUUGGCCACUUCAGAUGGGGACUCAACAGGAUCAGGGUGGAAGAGCUCUGGGACAGCAAGCAGGCAGCCCAGAAUGGGGGCGGUAAUGAGACCUGGGACGAAACAGGGGGCCAGGUGCAGACCAGGAGGAGAAGCCCACCAAAAGAGGCAGAGAGCUGGAGUGUGGAGCUGCCAAGGGCAGAGGCCUCACCCCCAUGGCGGAGGAAGCCCCUCUGAUCUGGGGCAGGUGGAGGAGCAGAGCCUCCCUGUUCACCUGCCUAGCUCCUGAGGCUUUGGGAGGGCUGUGGGGGCCCGGCGUGGUGAUGGGGAAGGGAAGGUCUUGGAACUGCAAAGGGGUGAGGUCGGUGAGGGUAGGUGGGUGGGGUGGACCCGGGGGUGGGGUCCACGGGCUAAAGGCAGGGGUGUUGAGCGCUUACCGAUCUCUUCGGUGGCCCCGUUUCAGGGGCCCAGGUUUCCUGUGUUGCUUUGAAUGAUGAGAUCCCAUGGGCCGGGGAGUGCCUCCUGGGAACAAAAUCCCUGUCUCGGCAAAAGAGUGCAAACCCAGAAAGAAAGGAGAGGGUCCUUCCCUCCAUGGCAGCCAGACGAUGGGGUGAGUCUGGAGGCUGGGGCUGCUUCAGGCGGCACACAAAGAGCUGGAGCCUGUUGCAGUUCCUUAUACUACUCAGCUCCGAACUGAAGCUCGCGCCGGUGUCUCCCCCCAUCACUGUGGCAACAGUCACACUAACAACCACCGUCACUGAUUCACUAGGACACAGAAACCCUCUCUGCUGGUCACAGUCCCCCUUGCAAGCCCUUCAGGACCAGACUGACUCCCCAAGGCCUCCAUGGCCCUGCCACUCAGGGACACCCAACCGCUCGUUUC
rnacentral:lncRNA from 1 species